CAUGUGAAAGUGCAGUCCAGUACCAAAAAGGAAAUUUUUCUGACAGAAGAUCACGCACACGUGGAGCUGAGGGGGUACUUUGCUUUCCCAUGCAGUCAUCCACCAGUCAGGUGUAUUUGACCUCCCAGAUUCCCAUAAAGCACAUGAUCCAACUUAACUGUUACCUAACAAGGCCAGGGUAACUUAUCCGUUCUCACCAUCUAAAGAGAACACUGGCCUGGGAUUGAAGCGCAGACCUUCUAACUGGGAACCUUCCACACAGUCUUCAAGUGACCUACCACAGCACCAGCAGUUGAAAUGAAAGUUCUAAUCUCUUCCCUCCUUCUGCUGCUGCUACUAAUGCUGAUGUCCAUGGUCUCCAGCAGCCCAAAUCCAGGGGUCGCCAGAGGCCACAGGGACCAACGCCAAGGUUGUUCUGGAGGAGGCUCCAGGAAGGCGCCCAAGAAUGUGACUGCAAAGAUUGGUUCCUGAGAGCCUCUGAAAGAAAACUCACAACAGUGCCCUGGCUGCCAGUGCCCCUGUGAUCAUUUCAAGG